rnacentral:rRNA from 1 species
UUGAACGCUGGCGGCAGGCCUAACACAUGCAAGUCGAGCGGUUGAGAGUAGCUUGCUACUUGAUGCAGCGGCGGACGGGUGAGUAACGCGUGGGAAUCUGCCCAGUAGUGGGGGACAACAGCCGGAAACGGCUGCUAAUACCGCAUACGCCCUACGGGGGAAAGGGGGGGAUCUUCGGACCUCUCGCUAUUGGAUGAGCCCGCGUCGGAUUAGCUAGUUGGUAGGGCAAAGGCCUACCAAGGCUACGAUCCGUAACUGGUCUGAGAGGAUGAUCAGUCACCCUGGAACUGAGACACGGUCCAGACUCCUACGGGAGGCAGCAGUGGGGAAUAUUGGACAAUGGGGGAAACCCUGAUCCAGCCAUGCCGCGUGUGUGAAGAAGGCCUUAGGGUUGUAAAGCACUUUCAGUGGGGAGAAAGGUUUGUCACCUAAUACGUGAUGAAAUUGAUGUUACCCACAGAAGAAGCACCGGCUAACUCCGUGCCAGCCGCCGCAGUAAGAC